rnacentral:lncRNA from 1 species
AAACUAAUUGGUGCUAAGUGGAGUGGCUCAUCCAUCUUAUAUAUUGUUAAGGAUCCCUUCCAAUAUCCGAUGUGGGACAUUUAUCCCUAAUACGCCUCCUCGAGAUGAUGGCUCUUUGAGCGUCAAUCUCGGAAUGUUCGGGCAAGGAUCGAUGGGCCAACUUUGGACUGGAUCGAUAAUGGAUCAGAUUGGACUGUGUGGA